AAAUCAUGGGGCCAGCCUUUCCUGUGCUACUCUCAUGAUAGUGAAUAAGUCUCACGAGAUCUGAUGGGUUUAUCAGGGGUUUCCACUUUUGCUUCUUCCUCAUUUACUCUUGCUACCACCAUGUAAGAAGUGCCUUUCACUUCCCGCCAUGAUUCUGAGGCCUCCCCAGCCAUGUGGAACUAAGUGCCUUUUGCCUCCCACCAUGAUUCUGAGGCCUCCCCAGCCAUGUGGAACUGCUGGAGUGCAAUGGCAUGCUCUCAGCUCACUGCAACCUCCACCUCCCGGGUUCAAGCGAUUUUCCUGCCUCAGCCUCCUGAGUAGCUGUGAUUACAGAUUUUACCUGAUUCUUGGCCACAAGGUUUCAAGGGAGCCAGAACUAAUGAAGACAGCAUGGAAGGCCACAGCUGAGACCUACCUGUGGGAGUCCACCUCACCUUCAAGAACAGCUACCAUUUUAACACAGAUGGAUAAACCCCAUGAAAGUGAACUUCCUAAAUGCAAAUUCUGAUCUUGAAGCCCCAGUCGGCAAAUCUACUGGGGACCCUCCCAAACAACAAGAUGUAGAUGCUUUAGAAAUAACAAACUACACAAGUUGUCUUCCAUUCUUUCUCCCUCCUCUAUUUUCAACACGGAUAAAAUACAUAUACAUUUAUCUUGUUGAGCUCAGUAGGAUUAUUUAGCUUUAUUUUCAUGGCUGCCUUUUCUUAAUGUAAUAGAAUUUCCAGUCGAGCUUAUUACUUCCUUCAGUCACAAGCCUGAGGUCCUUUCACAUCCAUCCUGUCCUUGGCAAAGAUCUUUGGAAAGUAGCCUGGGACAUACCUAGUGGUAAGCCACCUGCUCUGGGUUGAGGGUGGAUCUAUUCUAGUCAGAGGCUUUGUGAUCUGGACAAAGGAAUUGAGUAUGUGGCUGUCAAAUUGUGAGGCAAUACUAAAUUUGGCUGGCCAGCUGAAUUCUAGCAGAAAAUCAUGCAAAAUAAGGUUUAGCAAUUGGGGAAAAAUGGCCCACAGGAAAAACAAAGGGAUGAAAUUCCGUAGGACUACAUGGCCAUAGAAUUUUAACUUGAGGGCUGCAACCAGCUAUGUGACCUUGUAGUACAAGGACCAGUCUUCAGAUACAAAAUAGAAUUUGGAGUUAAAAGGAUCUUUGAGAAGAAGCCAUUAUCCACCCCCUCCUCCCGAUUUUAUAUGCCCUAAGAAAAAGGUUUCUUUCAACUUUAGAAAGGUAUGAUUCUUGAAGUGCACUUCCUCCGAGUUUUCCUGAGCCUCUCAAUCAAAAUGACUUGCACCUGCCCAUCCAUUCCCAUCGGCUCAUGCUCCUACCCUGCAGUAUUGGUUUCAUUAUGCCUCACCUUGUACACCUGUCUGAUUCCUCUUCUAGAUUAUCAGCGCCUUGACAAUAGGCUCAUAUCUUGUGUAUCCCUGCAUUUCCAGGGACAAUGAUAGUGCCUGCCACAUAAUUGAUGGUCAAUAAAUUGUGGUUAAAUAGUAACAAGAAACUCCCAUUUAAAAAUGUGUUAUGGUUAUCAUUCUCAAUCCGGAUGCUCUCCUCUAUACACAGUUUUAUUCAGUAACUCUCUUAAAAUUGUAAAGGCGAGAAAUUGAACAUAGUUUCCCAGGUCUUUGAGCAGCACGAGAUACAGGGAGAAAAAAAUGCUUUGUGCUUGAAUACUUUACUUCCGGUUGGAGAAAAUAAACACUGCACUGGAUUAUUUUUAAAGAUACGUCACAUUACAUUUGUGAUCAACUGAAAUGCUAAGAUAUUUGCAUGUGGAUUUCUGCCACGCUGCUUUUCUCCCAUUCUUCAUGUGUGUGAUUGAUCUUGAACUCAAACGGUAGGACUUUAUAUAUUUUUUUCUUUUAACUCAAUGUAAAGUCUGACAAAAAUCACGUUAAAUUUGAUGCUGUCAGUGAAGACAUUAGCAAUUCUUCCUGGCUUAAGGUCACUGGCAAAUUUGAUAUACAUAUCUUUUGUGGUUUUUGUUGGGUUUGUUUUUUUGAGACAGGGUCUCACUCUGUCACCCAAGUUAGAGUACAGUGGCUUGAAAAUGGCUCACUGAAGCCUCGACCUCCCAGGCUUAAGCAAUCCUCCCACCUCAGCCUCCUGAGUAGCUGGGACUCCAGGCAUGCACCACAAUGUCUGCUGACUUUUUUUUUUUUUUUUGUAGAGAUGUGGUCUUCCUAUGGUUCCCAGGCUGGUCUUGAACUCCUGGGCUCAACCAAUCCGCCCACCUUGGCCUCCCAAAAUGCUGAGAUUACAGGCAUAAGCCACCACAUGCGGCCCUCUUUUCUGUUUUUAUCCCACUCUUUGACAAUGUUGGAAGGAUUAGGACUAGCUCUAAUAAGAGUCACCCCCUUCAUAUUGGGUAAUCAACCAACAGCUAGAAAUGUACACUGAAAUACUACCAGACAUCCCUUAUUUUACCAUCUUAUCCACAAAGAUCUUACAGAUGACAUUUUAAAAACAUUGUCGAAAGCACAGAAAUACUUUUAAGUACAGUAGCCCCUGAAGCUUGCCUGCCACAUAAUCUAUUAAAACUUAAAUGAAACGAGGCAAGUAUGGUGCAUGUGUAUGGUGGCCGUGGUACCAGUGGCAUGCUUUUUUAAAUUCUACAGUCUCUUCCAACUACCCUCUGCUUUUUAAGUAAGUCUAAUUUAGCAUAUGCUUUGGCAUUGAUAUUAGGCUGACUUUCCACUACUGGCAUCCCAUCUGAUGGCUAUCUCCAAUCUUAUUUAUCUCUUUCAUGAUUCCUCAAAAAUUAAUAACUGUGACUUUGAGACUAUAGUACAAGUUCUUUAAACAUCCACAGAUAAAGUUAUUUAGAUCUGAAAAUAAACUUUUUGAGGUUGGCCUUAAUAAGGGUAGGAGAGCUCUCCUGGAUUCCUCACUUAAGUGGCAAGGGUCUGCUGUCAGAGACUGAUUACUACUCUUCUUCUGAUUUUUGUCCAGUGAUGCAGGAUGAGGCAGUGGAACAGGCUUUGUCGCCUUAAAUAUCUUUAACUAUCAAACACAGCCACCUGGUGAGAAGCUGCUUAUCUUCAUCUCAGGAAACUUUAAACCUUUUCCCUAGUUGACUUGAAGAUUCUACACAUCUUGGUAUUCUUCUAUUCUUUUGAGGCUGAACAUAUUAAGGCCAUGAAUGAUUCCCAUGGUAUAAAGAUGCCAAGCUAGUUGUCACAAGAUGCCAAGCACUUAGAAGAAGGAGACCUUCCAGGUCAAACAUGCCAGAAUUAGAGGUGAAGGUCACAGGGCAGACUCACUCCUUCCCUGAUCAUAACUCAAGCUGCUAUCCUGAGAAGACGGUGCCAACCCAGGAGGCAACUGGAAAAUAUCCUGAUGGGGGAAGGAGUUUUCCUCUUACUCCUAUAGUCCUUGUUCAGAAUGUAAGCCUUGGAAUUGGUAGAAGAUAUCCAUGUUCUUGUUUCCAUGAGGUGUCAAACAUAAUGAGAUUAAUAAAAUAUCUUAAGAUUUAG